rnacentral:rRNA from 1 species
GAUGAACGCUGGCGGCGUGCCUAAUACAUGCAAGUCGAGCGAACAGACGAGGAGCUUGCUCCUCUGACGUUAGCGGCGGACGGGUGAGUAACACGUGGAUAACCUACCUAUAAGACUGGGAUAACUUCGGGAAACCGGAUCUAAUACCGGAUAAUAUAUUGAACCGCAUGGUUCAAUAGUGAAAGACGGUUUUGCUGUCACUUAUAGAUGGUUCCGCGCCGCAUUAGCUAGUUGGUAAGGUAACGGCUUACCAAGGCGACGAUGCGUAGCCGACCUGAGAGGGUGAUCGGCCACACUGGAACUGAGACACGGUCCAGACUCCUACGGGAGGCAGCAGUAGGGAAUCUUCCGCAAUGGGCGAAAGCCUGACGGAGCAACGCCGCGUGAGUGAUGAAGGUCUUCGGAUCGUAAAGCUCUGUUAUUAGGGAAGAACAAAUGUGUAAGUAACUAUGCACGUCUUGACGGUACCUAAUCAGAAAGCCACGGCUAACUACGUG